rnacentral:rRNA from 1 species
UGGGGAAUAUUGCACAAUGGGCGCAAGCCUGAUGCAGCCAUGCCGCGUGUGUGAAGAAGGCCUUCGGGUUGUAAAGCACUUUCAGCGAGGAGGAAGGGUAGUGUGUUAAUAGCACAUUGCAUUGACGUUACUCGCAGAAGAAGCACCGGCUAACUCCGUGCCAGCAGCCGCGGUAAUACGGAGGGUGCAAGCGUUAAUGGGAAUUAAUGGGCGUAAAGCGCACGCAGGCGGUUUGUUAAGUCAGAUGUGAAAUCCCCGCGCUUAACGUGGGAACUGCAUUUGAAACUGGCAAGCUAGAGUCUUGUAGAGGGGGGUAGAAUUCCAGGUGUAGCGGUGAAAUGCGUAGAGAUCUGGAGGAAUACCGGUGGCGAAGGCGGCCCCCUGGACAAAGACUGACGCUCAGGUGCGAAAGCGUGGGGAGCAAACA